AGAGUUUGAUCCUGGCUCAGGAUGAACGCUAGCGACAGGCUUAACACAUGCAAGUCGAGGGGCAGCAUGAGGUAGCAAUACCUUGAUGGCGACCGGCGCACGGGUGAGUAACGCGUAUGCAACCUGCCCGAUACCGGGGUAUAGCCCAUGGAAACGUGGAUUAACACCCCAUAGUACUUUUAUCCUGCAUGGGAUGUGAGUUAAAUGUUCAAGGUAUCGGAUGGGCAUGCGUCCUAUUAGUUAGUUGGCGGGGUAACAGCCCACCAAGACGAUGAUAGGUAGGGGUUCUGAGAGGAAGGUCCCCCACAUUGGAACUGAGACACGGUCCAAACUCCUACGGGAGGCAGCAGUGAGGAAUAUUGGUCAAUGGACGAGAGUCUGAACCAGCCAAGUCGCGUGAGGGAAGACUGCCCUAUGGGUUGUAAACCUCUUUUAUAAGGGAAGAAUAAGUUCUACGUGUAGAAUGAUGCCUGUACCUUAUGAAUAAGCAUCGGCUAACUCCGUGCCAGCAGCCGCGGUAAUACGGAGGAUGCGAGCGUUAUCCGGAUUUAUUGGGUUUAAAGGGUGCGUAGGCGGUUUAUUAAGUUAGUGGUUAAAUAUUUGAGCUAAACUCAAUUGUGCCAUUAAUACUGGUAAACUGGAGUACAGACGAGGUAGGCGGAAUAAGUUAAGUAGCGGUGAAAUGCAUAGAUAUAACUUAGAACUCCGAUAGCGAAGGCAGCUUACCAGACUGUAACUGACGCUGAUGCACGAGAGCGUGGGUAGCGAACAGGAUUAGAUACCCUGGUAGUCCACGCCGUAAACGAUGCUCACUGGUUCUGUGCGAUAUAUUGUACGGGAUUAAGCGAAAGUAUUAAGUGAGCCACCUGGGGAGUACGUCGGCAACGAUGAAACUCAAAGGAAUUGACGGGGGCCCGCACAAGCGGAGGAACAUGUG
rnacentral:rRNA from 3 species